GCAUGGCUGUAUGUACUUGCACGAAUUUGGGCUUUGUAACAUGUUUUAAAUGCAUUUUCAGAACAUGUUUGAUUGGUAGAAAUGGUGGAAAAGGUUUAUUUUGAAAAGUCAAAAUUUCAUUUCACUUGAAAUUAAUUCAAGUAAGUCAAAAAAUGUCAUUUUGAUCCAUAAGGUUUUGGUACAUGAAAGUUACAUUUUUGGAAAGAGGGGAUCAAAUGUGACUUGUAGGAAAAAACCCCACCAAAAUUGGCCAAAU
rnacentral:lncRNA from 1 species